rfam:Gavia stellata contig76965, whole genome shotgun sequence.
UCCCUGGUGGUCUAGUGGCUAGGAUUCGGCGCUUUCACCGCCGCGGCCCGGGUUCGAUUCCCGGUCAGGGAA